UUUAGUAAUUCGCUUUCCUGAUAUGUGGGGUCCGGAGGGUGAUACACAGAGGCGACAUAGUAUUUGCUAUUUGCUGUCUCAAUUUCACACCAGAUGCAUUCCAAAUUAUUUUGAAAGUUUAGAGAUUUACAUUUCCAAUCUUCCCGACAAAUUAUAGCAACACCUCCUACGGGAGUAAUGCUCAUGUCUUCAUGGCGAAUUCGGUAUGCGUAUCGGCUUAGUAAUGCACGCGACAAUGCUCUUUAAAUUAAACAAGCGUUCAGUAUUAUAGCCGUGUUUACACUACGAGUCUAAGCCUGGCCUAUAGGCCUAGCUUUGGACUAGAUUUUUGUAGUGUAAACGCACUUUGGGCCUGGCCUAGGUUAGGAAAUGUGUAACACCUGUUCUGAUGGCCCAGAUGUCCUGACCUAAGCCAGGUCGAAGUGCGUUUACACUACAAAAAUCUAGUCCAAAGCUAGGCCUAGGUUCGUAGUGUAAACACGACUAUGUAACACGCAUUUCGCGCAGUCAAAAAACAAUGUCUCUAUAGCUUGUAAUCAUGUUUUGACAUAUGUAUUGUUGUUAAUAUCACUACAAUUUGUAUUACUAAACGCCUAUAAUCCCACGUUUAAGAACAUUAUAAUUACACAAAAAUAUAAAAUUCAAAAUAUAAAAUAUAAAAUACAAAAUAUAAAAUACAAAAUAUAAAACACAAAAAUACAAAAUAUAAAACACAAAAAUACAAAAUAUAAAACACAAAAAUACAAAAUAUAAAACACAAAAAUACAAAAUAUAAAACACAAAAAUACAAAAUAUAUAAAACAUAAAAAUACAAAAUAUAAAACACAAAAAUACAAAAUAUAAAACACAAAAAUACAAAAUAUAAAACACAAAAAUACAAAAUAUAAAACACAAAAAUACAAAAUAUAAAACACAAAAAUACAAAAUAUAAAACACAAAAUGUAAAAUACAAAAGUGGUUUUAUGC